UAUAUUUUAGUGUUUUAUGCACGUAAGAUUUUGAUUCUUUAAGUUUUAAUUAAAAAUUAAAAAAUAUAA
rnacentral:tRNA from 1 species